ACAGAGGUGGCAAGCGCUGUUCGGAAUUACUGGGCGUAAAGGGCGAGUAGGCGGCCAUCUAAGUCAUACGUGAAAUCCCUCGGCUUAACCGGGGAACUGCGUCUGAUACUGGACGGCUUGAGUUUGGGAGAGGGAUGCGGAAUUCCAGGUGUAGCGGUGAAAUGCGUAGAUAUCUGGAGGAACACCGGUGGCGAAGGCGGCAUCCUGGACCAACACUGACGCUGAGGAGCGAAAGCCAGGGGAGCAAACGGGA
rnacentral:rRNA from 1 species